CAUCAACGUCGAGGAUGGCAAUGUUCUGGGCACCGUCACCGUUUCCAUGGAGCGGCCAAACAUAUACGAGCACGAAGUUGGCGAACGGAAGACCGUCAGGCAGGAGUGGAAUUAUCCCAAACUAUAUUCAAUCAACGAGCCGAUAACGAUCUUGGAUAAUAGAAACUUGGAGGGAAAUAAUCAACAGCCGAAAACUGCUAUCCGAGAGCCCGACAUCAAUCAACAGGCUAGAACAAUUUCAAAAUUGGUUGACGGAAGUAAUCCGGCACACGGGCAAUCAUUGAAAAAUUGAUGAAUAUAGUUAAUGCAAUCUAAUGGAAGAAUGAUCAACCACACUCUGGAAUACAUCCAUGAACAAGAAGGUAGAAGGGGACAUCUAAAAAGAUAAGUAUAAUUUCAAUUGUUUAAUUGCUUUAAAGGUGAAACGUAUUUGGUACAGACUGACCUGUUUGUUAGACAUUUCGGUUAUACUAUGUUCGCAUUAGGGCAUUGUAACAUGUUAUUCGGCUAUCUUGAUGAGCUUUCUUUUGUCGAUAAUUUGAAUAACAUGUUAUUCAGGUCGUAGUGCGAGCAUGGUAUUAGUUCAAGCACGCUUAAAGGAUUUUUUGUGAUUGUUCACAUACUUUAUAUUCAGCAUUAUCACAAUAGAUCUAAAUAAAUGGUCGCAAUGAUUGAAAUACCCAACAAGGAAAACACAGCAUUGCCCGCUUCUAUGCGAAUAUUAAACAACCUAAGGCUAAAAGAUUAAGCUUAAGCGGAAAUUUUACCGAGGCAUACAAUCAUAAAUUGUGGGACAAAACUUAUCGUGUUUAGAUUUUUUAAUUUAAGGUGGCAUCCCGAGCAAAGCUUGAAAAUCGAUAACUUGAUUUUGAUUACUCAGGUUGAUUAUUAUUUUGGUUGUUUUAACGAUUAAAAUAACAAAAUCUUACUGCGAGAUCAAAUUGAAAACUAUUUCUAAACUGCAAAUUGAAAACUGAUUUUGAUAUUGGUUUUUGAUAACGAAAUAUGAGUUCAUAUAAUUUGAAAAUAAACUGCAAACAGAAAUCAAAAUAAGUAAUCAAUCACGGAGACCAAAAUUUAAAAAGAAAUUAUGAUUUCAAUUUGAUGUCUUUACCAAAAUAUAUUUUCUAUUUGACCUCAUUAUUAUGUCCGACUUUGCCCGGGAUGUGCAUUAAAAGGCAGUAAUUAUGAAGAAAUACUAAUCCUUUUUUUCUUUUCUAUUUUAGUCCUCAUCGCCAACAUCAUGACAUCCUUAGACAUUGACAUGCUUAGAGCUCGAAUUCUCGGUUAGAACGCACUUUUUAAAACCAGCCAUAUGCUAUAGCUACUUAUACCUCAAACAUGACGAUUUAGUUGAUGAAGAAGUACCGCGAAGCUGCCAUUAGUAAAUGAUACCAAAUUUUCAAAACGACUUAUCCUCGGACUUAUCUGCGUCGAAUCUGAUAGCACUUUCAUGCAAACCAACGCACCAUCAACAUGUAGCAGAAACCCGCAACUAUGUAUUUAGGACGUAUGACUCUUUGUUUACAAAAUCAGAUAAGUAGUUUUGAAAAUUUGGUAUGUAAUAGUUUAAUUUUGAAAACCUGUUGAUUAUUUUUUCGGAGCUACAACAUAUUUCUUUUAACAUAAUUUUGAUGAUGUUUGGCAGUUAGCUUACUAUGGCAACAUAGUAAAAUCAUGUUUGGGGUGUUCAAUAAAAUGAUUUUAUAAUAUAUAAUACAUAAAAAACCAAAUUGAAGCUAUUCACUUAGAGAUAUAGGACAGAGAAUAACGACUGUUAGAAAACGUGUUUGCUUUUAUUCUUGAUAGCAAUUUUGAUUGUUAUUAAAAACUCAUUGAAAUUUCAUUAGGAAAACAUUGAGAAAAAAACAUAUAAAUCAAUUUAUUAAUGUGUUGAAGUAUAUAGCUCGUUCACUCGCUCAUUCAUUCAAAUGAUAAAAAUGUUCUAGUAUUUUUACAAGCUUAGUUGAUGUAGUUUUUACUUAUACUAGAGACAGACUGGUGGUAUUUGUACCACGAUUCAUGGGUAUUAUCUUGAAAGCUUGAUACAUGUGAAUGAGUGAGUCACAUGCAUUUAAAAGUCACCAACACGCUCUGCAUCUCACUGGACUGGAAAUAGUAAUUUAUUGGAGAGGUGAAUUGUGUAGGGAUCCUGAAAGAUGAAGCAAAAGUGCUCGAUAAAGCCUAGCAGAUAGUAUAUAGUUUUAGCUUUGUGAAUGAUUGUGUUAUAGUUUCGUUAUAAUAAGUUUCGAGUCUGAAAUUGACCAACUGAGUCAGUUAUUUGGCAACAAGACAAGACUGUAUGACUUUUUUUUAGUUUAGAUGUUCAGAUGUUUAAGUCAAGAAUAGAGGUAAUAAACUAUAGAGGAAGAUUGUCAGUUCCCUUUGUUCUAGUAACCAGCAUGUUGGGUAUCUGAACGACCUGAUUUUUCCUUCGUUGACGCCUUAACCUUCGAGCGCCCUAACCACACCAGCAAAAGAUGUUUUGCAAGUGAUGACUGCGACAAUCUUCCUCUAUAGUGUAUUGCCUCUAUUAAGUCAAGUGAUUUGCUCAAUUUAUAUGCAUAACUAAACCUUGACAAGUAUGACUUAUUUUAUCUUAACGCAGUGUAAUUUGGUACAUUUUGUAUUUAUAGUAAUUUGAAAAGAUGAUUAAUUAAUAAAUUGUAUCUCCUGGUUUAAAAAAAAAUAGUAAAGCGUUAUUCUUUUUGUAUUCAC